AUGGCCUCUCUGUUACUUAAUCAUUACUCUGUAUGUCGAGUUUACCACGUGAUCACAUUAUUUCUGAAAAUAUUAAAAUCGACGACGGCUUGAUAAGUAAAUAUGUACCUUUCGAGCGCCAUCUAUUGAGCUCGUUUGUCGCAAAUUCUAAAAUGUCAGUUGCCUAUAAUCCCGCCUUAAGGGAAUAUUUGAAUU